UACGUAGGUGGCAAGCGUUAUCCGGAAUUAUUGGGCGUAAAGCGCGCGUAGGCGGUUUUUUAAGUCUGAUGUGAAAGCCCACGGCUCAACCGUGGGGGGUCAUUGGAAACUGGAAAACUUGAGUGCAGAAGAGGAAAGUGGAAUUCCAUGUGUAGCGGUGAAAUGCGCAGAGAUAUGGAGGAACACCAGUGGCGAAGGCGACUUUCUGGUCUGUAACUGACGCUGAUGUGCGAAAGCGUGGGGAUCAAACAGGAUUAGAUA
rnacentral:rRNA from 1 species